rnacentral:misc_RNA from 1 species
GAUGAAGAACGUAGCGAAAUGCGAUAAGUAAUGUGAAUUGCAGAAUUCAGUGAAUCAUCGAAUCUUUGAACGCACAUUGCGCCCCUUGGUAUUCCGGGGGGCAUGCCUGUUCGAGCGUCAUUAUAACCCCUCAAGCCCAGCUUGGUGUUGGGGCCUGCCGACUGGCAGCCCUUAAAAUCAGUGGCGGCGCCAUCUGGCUCUAAGCGUAGUAAUUUCUCUCGCUAUAGAGUCCCGGUGGAUGCUUGCCAGCAACCCCCAACUUUCUAUGGUUGACCUCGGAUCAGGUAGGGAUACCCGCUGAACUUAAGCAUAUCAAUAAGCGGAGGA